CUAUCUGCCGUGGGCGCUGGAGAACUGAGGGGGGUGCUCCUAGUACGAGAGGACCGGAGUGGACGCAUCACUGGUGUUCGGGUUGUCAUGCCAAUGGCACUGCCCGGUAGCUAAAUGCGGAAGAGAUAAGUGCUGAAAGCAUCUAAGCACGAAACUUGCCCCGAGAUGAGUUCUCCCUGACUCCUUGAGAGUCCUGAAGGAACGUUGAAGACGACGACGUUGAUAGGCCGGGUGUGUAAGCGCAGCGAUGCGUUGAGCUAACCGGUACUAAUGAACCGUGAGGCUUAACCUUACAACGCCGAAGGUGUUU
rnacentral:rRNA from 1 species